rnacentral:lncRNA from 1 species
UGACGGAGUACAACGAACGGUCAAAGAGCGCGUUGAAGUUUGAGAGCGUGGAGAAGGGCGAGACUCAGGUGGUUUCCGGCACCAAUUACCGGCUGAUCUUGGUCGUCAAGGACGGUCCUUCGAUCAAGAAAUUUGAAGCUGUCGUUUGAGAGAAGCCAUGGGAGCAUUUCAAGAGUCUCACCUCGUUUAAGCCUAUGUUUGGGGGAUGGACUCCGAUAGACCCCACGGAGAAGCACGUGAUGGAGAUCGGGCAGUUCGCGGUGACGGAGUACAACAAACGGUCAAAGAGCGCGUUGAAGUUCGAGAGGGUGGAGAAGGCCGAGACUCAGGUGGUUUCCGGCACCAAUUACCGGCUGAUCUUGGUCGUCAAGGACGGACCUUCGACCAAGAAAUUUGUAGCUGUCGUUUGGGAGAAGCCAUGGGAGCAUUUCAAGAGUCUCACCUCGUUUAAGCCUAUGUUUGGGGGAUGGACUCCGAUAGACCCCACGGAGAAGCACGUGAUGGAGAUCGGGCAGUUCGCGGUGACAGAGUAAUACAAACGGUCAAAGAGCGCGUUGAAGUUCGAGAGCGUGGAGAAGGCCUGGACUCAGGUGCUUUCCGGCACCAAUUACCGGCUGAUCUUGGUCGUCAAGGACGGACCUUCGACCAAGAAAUUUGAAGCUGUCGUUUGGGAGAAGCCAUGGGAGCAUUUCAAGAGUCUCACCUCGUUUAAGCCUAUGUUUGGGGGAUGGACUCCGAUAGACCCCACGGAGAAGCACGUGAUGGAGAUCGGGCAGUUCGCGGUGACAGAGUACAACAAACGGUCAAAGAGCGCGUUGAAGUUCGAGAGCGUGGAGAAGGCCUGGACUCAGGUCGUUUCCGGCACCAAUUACCGGCUGAUCUUGGUCGUCAAGGACGGACCUUCGACCAAGAAAUUUGUAGCUGUCGUUUGGGAGAAGCCAUGGGAGCAUUUCAAGAGUCUCACCUCGUUUAAGCCUAUGUUUGGGGGAUGGACUCCGAUAGACCCCACGGAGAAGCACGUGAUGGAGAUCGGGCAGUUCGCGGUGACAGAGUAAUACAAACGGUCAAAGAGCGCGUUGAAGUUCGAGAGCGUGGAGAAGGCCUGGACUCAGGUGCUUUCCGGCACCAAUUACCGGCUGAUCUUGGUCGUCAAGGACGGACCUUCGACCAAGAAAUUGUUAGCUGUCGUUUGGGAGAAGCCAUGGGAGCAUUUCAAGAGUCUCACCUCGUUUAAGCCUAUGCUUGGCGGAUGGACUCCGAUAGACCCCACGGAGAAGCACGUGAUGGAGAUCGGGCAGUUCGCGGUGACAGAGUACAUCAAACGGUCAAAGAGCGCGUUGAAGUUCGAGAGCGUGGAGAAGGCCUGGACUCAGGUGGUUUCCGGCACCAAUUACCGGCUGAUCUUGGUCGUCAAGGACGGACCUUCGACCAAGAAAUUUGAAGUUGUCGUUUGGGAGAAGCCAUGGGAGCAUUUCAAGAGUCUCACCUCGUUUAAGCCUAUGCUUGGGGAUGGACUCCGAUAGACCCCACGGAGAAGCACGUGAUGGAGAUCGGGCAGUUCGAGGUGACGGAGUGCAAUAAACGGUCAAAGAGCGCGUUGAAGUUCGAGAGCGUGGAGAAGGCCUGGACUCAGGUGGUUUCCGGCACCAAUUACCGGCUGAUCUUGGUCGUCAAGGACGGACCUUCGACCAAGAAAUUUGAAGCUGUCGUUUGGGAGAAGCCAUGGGAGCAUUUCAAGAGUCUCACCUCGUUUAAGCCUAUGUUUGGGGGAUGGACUCCGAUAGACCCCACGGAGAAGCACGUGAUGGAGAUCGGGCAGCUCGCGGUGACGGAGUACAACAAACGGUCAAAGAGCGCGUUGAAGUUCGAGAGCGUUUAGAAGGCCGAGACUCAAGUGGUUUCCGGCACCAAUUACCGGCUGAUCUUGGUCGUCAAGGACGGACCUUCGACCAAGAAAUUUGUAGCUGUCGUUUGGGAGAAGCCAUGGGAGCAUUUCAAGAGUCUCACCUCGUUUAAGCCUAUGUUUGGGGGAUGGACUCCGAUAGACCCCACGGAGAAGCACGUGAUGGAGAUCGGGCAGUUCGCGGUAACAGAGUACAACAAACGGUCAAAGAGCGCGUUGAAGUUCGAGAGCGUGGAGAAGGCCUGGACUCAGGUCGUUUCCGGCACCAAUUACCGGCUGGUCUUGGUCGUCAAGGACGGACCUUCGACCAAGAAAUUGUUAGCUGUCGUUUGGGAGAAGCCAUGGGAGCAUUUCAAGAGUCUCACCUCGUUUAAGCCUAUGCUUGGGGGAUGGAAUCCGAUAGACCCCACGGAGAAGCACGUGAUGGAGAUCGGGCAGUUCGCUGUGACAGAGUACAACAAACGGUCAAAGAGCGCGUUGAAGUUCGAGAGCGUGGAGACGGCCUGGACUCAGGUGGUUUCCGGCACCAAUUACCGGCUGAUCUUGGUCGUCAAGGACGGACCUUCGACCAAGAAAUUUGUAGCUGUCAUUUGGGAGUAGCCAUGGGAGCAUUUCAAGAGUCUCACCUCGUUUAAGCCUAUGCUUGGGGGAUGGACUCCGAUAGACCCCACGGAGAAGCACGUGAUGGAGAUCGGGCAGUUCGCGGUGACAGAGUACAACAAACGGUCAAAGAGCGCGUUGAAGUUCGAGAGCGUUGAGAAGGCUUGGACUCAGGUGGUUUCCGGCACCAAUUACCGGCUGAUCUUGGUCGUCAAGGACGGACCUUCGACCAAGAAAUUUGAAGCUGUCGUUUGAGAGAUGCCAUGGGAGCAUUUCAAGAGUCUCACCUCGUUUAAGCCUAUGCUUGGGGGAUGGACUCCGAUAGAGCCCACGGAGAAGCACGUGAUGGAGAUCGGGCAGUUCGCGGUGACAGAGUACAAUAAACGGUCAAAGAGCGCGUUGAAGUUCGAGAGCGUUGAGAAGGCUUGGACUCAGGUGGUUUCCGGCACCAAUUACCGGCUGAUCUUGGUCGUCAAGGACGGACCUUCGACCAAGAAAUUUGUAGCUGUCGUUUGGGAGUAGCCAUGGGAGCAUUUCAAGAGUCUCACCUCGUUUAAGCCUAUGCUUGGGGGAUGGACUCCGAUAGACCCCACGGAGAAGCACGUGAUGGAGAUCGGGCAGUUCGCGGUGACGGAGUACAACAAACGGUCAAAGAGCGCGUUGAAGUUCGAGAGCGUGGAGAAGGCCUGGACUCAGGUGCUUUCCGGCACCAAUUACCGGCUGAUCUUGGUCGUCAAGGACGGACCUUCGACCAAGAAAUUUGAAGCUAUCGUUUGGGAGAAGCCAUGGGAGCAUUUCAAGAGUCUCACCUCGUUUAAGCCUAUGGUUAAAUAGGGUGUUUAACAAAUAACAAAUGCAUGUAAUUGUUAAAUAAAGGAUAGGUAUACUAUUACCUAUCAAUCAUGGCAAUGUCUUAGUCUGUUUUAGUUCAACUUAUAAGAUUUCUUGAGAUGUACAAGAGAUCUUUUUGUUUACUUUUGAGCCAAGUAUUUUCCUGAAAAAGGAAAUAAAUCAAUAAAAAUUAUUGUGUGUCAACAUAUUGGUUAUAUUAGUCUAUACACG